UGAAUACGAGACGCUAAGGCGUCGAAGUAGUGUAUGUCAUACUUCCAAGAAAAGCUUGCACUGUCAUAAGUAAAAAAUGCCUGUACCAUAACCGACACAGGUGGGUAGGUAGAGUAUACUAAGGGGCGCGAGAUAACUCUCUCUAAGGAACUCGGCAAAAUAACUCCGUAACUUCGGGAGAAGGAGUACCUUAUUCUAUAAGGUUGCAAUAACAAGAUCCAAGCAACUGUUUAUCAAAACACAGGUCUCCGCUAAGUCGUAAGACGAUGUAUGGGGGCUGACGCCUGCCCAGUGCCAGAAGGUUAAAGAAGUCGGUUAGCAUUAGCGAAGCUGGUAACUGAAGCCCUGGUGAACGGCGGCCGUAACAAUAACGGUCCUAAGGUAGCGAAAUUCCUUGUCGGGUAAGUUCCGACCCGCACGAAAGGCGUAAUGAUUUGGAUACUGUCUCGGAGAGGGGCUCGGUGAAAUAGACUUGUCUGUGAAGAUGCGGACUACCUGCACCAGGACAGAAAGACCCUAUGAAGCUUUACUGUAACUUGAAAUUGAAAUUGGACUUUAUUCGCGCAGUAUAGGUGGGAGGUGUUGAUUAUAAUCUUGCGGGAUUAUUGGAGCCAUCAGUGAGAUACCACUCUUGUAAUGUUAGAUUUCUAACUUUGAAUCAUUAUCUGGUCAAAGGACAGUUUCAGGCGGGCAGUUUGACUGGGGCGGUCGCCUCCCAAACGGUAACGGAGGCGUACAAAGGUUUCCUCUGAACGGGUAGAAAUCGUAUCUAGAGUGUAAAGGCAUAAGGAAGCUUGACUGUGAGACCUACAAGUCGAACAGGGACGAAAGUCGGUCUUAGUGAUCUGACGGUACUGAGUGGAAAGGCCGUCACUCAACGGAUAAAAGUUACUCUAAGGAUAACAGACUGAUCUCCCCCAAGAGUUCACAUCGACGGGGAGGUUUGGCACCUCGAUGUCGGCUCAUCGCAUCCUGGGGCGGUAGUACGUCCCAAGGGUUGGGCUGUUCGCCCAUGAAAGCGGUACGCGAGCUGGGUUCAGAACGUCGUGAGACAGUUCGGUCCAUAUCCGGUGUAAGCGUUAGAAUAUUGAGAGGAGCCUUCUUUAGUACGAGAGGACCGAGAAGGACAUACCUCUGGUGUACCAGUUAUCGUGCCAACGGUAAACGCUGGGUAGCUAUGUAUGGAGUGGAUAACCGCUGAAAGCAUCUAAGUGGGAAGCCCACCUCAAGAUAAGUAUUCUCC
rnacentral:rRNA from 1 species